rnacentral:hammerhead_ribozyme from 1 species
AUCCGGCCGACGAGUCCCAAAUAGGACGAAACGCGCGUCAAACUAGAU